UUGGAGGUAGUGACAAUAAAUCACAAUGCGGGACUAUCAGUCUUGCAAUUGGAUUGAGAACAAUGUACAACUCUUAUCGAUAAGCCAUUGGAGGGCAAGUCUGGUGCCAGCAGCCGCGGUAAUUCCAGCUCCAAUAGCGUAUAUUAACGUUGUUGCAGUUAAAAAGCUCGUAGUUGAAGUGUGGGUGAUCGCUGUUGUGAGACUUCGGUCUCUCGACAGUAAGUCACCCCCUUCCAGUAUCCAGUAGUGGGUAUUCAGUUACUUACUAUUGUGUGUUGGUCAUUUACUGUGAGAAAAUUAGAGUGUUCAAAGCAGGCGUUUGCUUGAAUAGAUUAGCAUGGAAUAAUAAUUGAAGGCUUUCGUGUUCGAUUUGAUUGGUUUGUUCAUGGAAGCAAGGUUAAAAGGAACAGUUGGGGGUAUUCAUAUUCACUAGUAGGUGAUU
rnacentral:rRNA from 1 species